rnacentral:piRNA from 1 species
UGUGAACAAAAAAUUCUGUGAUGUUUGCCUG